UAAAUUUAUUUAUGGCACGGAGAUUAUUCUUUGCUUUGUUUUAGAAACUGAGUUUGUGGCUGUGCUCCAGUUUCACAUAUGUUGACAUUUAACAUUGUAUAAAUUUAAGGUGUACAUGUUAAUUUGAUACACAAAUAUUGUAAUAUGAUGGCCAUUGUAGUGAGAAUUAGAACCCCUGUCAUGCUACAUAAUUAUGCUCCAGUUUUUAGACGAACUGCUGUAGUUUUCCAUUACUGAGUUAAAAUUUCAUAUCAUCAGGAGUUACCUACUGUAAGUUCCUAGUAGAGAAUAUUUAAUUCCUGGCUUUAAAAAAAGUGAGUUACCUGAACACAGUAUUUACUGUUAACCUGUGUUUUAAUAGGCUCUGUCUGGAAAGCUCUAUUUCUUAUUUUUGGUAGAAUGCAAAGAACAUGAGAUUCAAACUCGGAAGUUCUGGGACCUAGUCUGCUCCUCUGUUCCAUAAAGGAAAUUUUGAUAUGACUGUUUAUGGACACAGCCAGUUUUGAAAUGGGAGAUACUUAAUAGGAAUAAACAUAAUUGGGUCACAAUGCAGUAACAUUUCUCUUAUGAUAAAAUUUUACGUUCUAAAGUCCCUGGUGCUAUUGCCGAGCCUGCCCCACGUCAGUGCCUCCCGAGCCCCGUGCCCAUGGCCUACCCAGAUGCUGACCCUCUCCACCCUCGGGGUGGCAGGGUGGGUCUAGGCUAGCAGCUUCGCUGGUAUGCGUCAUGAUAUGAAACCGGCAGGGAAACACCACCCUAUGCAACAAAGAAACAGCUAAUACUGAGUAGUGCUAGGGCACGUCUUAAGGGUUACGUGCACUGACUUACUGAAACAUCACAACCUUCAACGAGUCAAUCAGGCACUACUACAAUUUCCACUUUACAGAAGGAAAAACUAACCAUACCAUCAAUCCAGGGUCAAGGUUGACAUCUGUAAACAACUGGGAGCCUCAGGGAUGGGUGAGGCCUAAGAAUGGAGUCCAGGACAGGGUGCAGAUCGCAGAUGGUGCAAUGGGCAUCUGUUGCCUUUGUCUGCCUUUCAAGAUCUUUUUCUCUAGCUCACACUUCACCUACACUUUCUAUUCAGAGUAUCAGCUUUCACAGACUCAACACGGACAGUCACGUGUCCUAGACCACGGCCUCCUCGAGGCUCUUCGAUACACUCUCCAAGAGUAAUUGUUUGGACCAAUAGGACAGAAGUGAUGCUGGUGGACUUCUGAGGCUGGAGUGUAAGCAAUACAGCUUUUGCUUGGCUCUGCCUCUGCAGACACACAGCGCUGAGCCACCAUAAUACAAAGGCUGGCUCUCCGGAAGCCACCAGCAGUGCUGGAGACCACACAGGGGUGGAGAGACGCCUAAAAGCUCCCGCUGUUCCAGCCCCCAGCUGCUGAGACUUCCUGGCUCGGGCUCCUGAGUGAAGGCGCUUUCAAGAUGGCUCCAACCCCACCUACCAUCUGACUGCAACCUCACAAAAGCCCCUCAACUCAGAACCACACAGCUGAGCCACUUCUAAAUUCUCAUCCCACAGAAAUAGAGAUAAUAAUGAGUAUUAUUGUUUUAAGUUGA